rnacentral:rRNA from 1 species
GAUGCCUCUCUCUCUCCGUGUACACCCUCUCUCUCUAUACCUCCCCUCUCCCGUUCGCAUCCGCAGCUUCACACCAGACACCACGGCCACAUCUCCCUCAAACCAGCCAGAAAUUUCAUCCAGCCAUGGCCUUCCCCGUGGCCCUGCUCUACAUCACUCACCACCACCACCCUAGCAUGGAGCCCAGCCGUCCACGCACCUGCUCUAUCCUCCCCAACAGACUAGAUCGGUAUCGGUCACUUCUCUUCCCCCAUCGUUCCUGCUCCGGCAGCCUCCACCACCGCCUUCUAUGACCCGUGCUACAGCAGCAACGUCCCAUCUUCCCCCAGCCAUCACCUUCCUCCCCCGUUCCUUGACCCGCCGACAGUGCCACCAUCACGACCACAACCAAUUACACGGCCGAGAUCUGCCUCAGGAGGCGACACCGCGACCCCGCCAAAUCAAGUCCAGCCGACGGCCGGAGGAGAACUGUGCAAGGAGGAGGAGCUCCAUGCGGCCGCCACGCCCAUGGAACGAGCAGCUCCGGUGCAGGCUGUCGACGCUCGCCAAAGAGCGAGGUGCUGCUGCCCGCUCCCAACUCUUUCGCCCCCCUCUGCUGCGUUGGGAGCUUGGGAUGCAUGAGUGGUGCUUGUCAUCCUGGUCGUGUACCCAUACUUCAACGGCGUCGCAAACAUACGCAAAUGGAGAAGGCCGGGGUAAAGCCGGGUCUCCUGUACUCGUGGUUGCCUCGAGGUGGCCUGUGGAAAGCGGCUCGAAAGCUUGCCUUGUUUUUUCUCUUCAGGCACAACCAGACCCGUCCAUCCCCAUACUUUUUCUUCAUCCGUCUUGUUCUUCUGUUGCUUUUCCCCAAGGAUUAUUGUCCAGCUCUUUAUUCUUUUUUACUUCUUGAGAUUGCAACAUGUAGAUACCAUCAAACUCUAUGUCUUUAGCUCACGCUAUGGUCUAAUUUUCAGCUACAGCUACACACCUCAUACUCUGUCGUGCGCAGCUGCUCACUAGUUAACAUGACGACGCGCCUAUUAUGUGUGUUUGAUCAGCUGACGAGUUCGUAAAUCUGGGGGUGCUCCCAUUGACUGCUGAAUCUUCAUGCUUUUGUAGAUUAUAUAUACAUUCCAAU